GACGAACGCUGGCGGCGUGCCUAAUACAUGCAAGUUGAGCGCUGAAGGUUGGUACUUGUACCAACUGGAUGAGCAGCGAACGGGUGAGUAACGCGUGGGGAAUCUGCCUUUGGGCGGGGGACAACAUUUGGAAACGAAUGCUAAUACCGCAUAAAAACUUUAAACACAAGUUUUAAGUUUGAAAGAUGCAAUUGCAUCACUCAAAGAUGAUCCCGCGUUGUAUUAGCUAGUUGGUGAGGUAAAGGCUCACCAAGGCGAUGAUACAUAGCCGACCUGAGAGGGUGAUCGGCCACAUUGGGACUGGGACACGGCCCAAACUCCUACGGGAGGCAGCAGUAGGGAAUCUUCGGCAAUGGACGAAAGUCUGACCGAGCAACGCCGCGUGAGUGAAGAAGGUUUUCGGAUCGUAAAACUCUGUUGGUAGAGAAGAACGUUGGUGAGAGUGGAAAGCUCAUCAAGUGACGGUAACUACCCAGAAAGGGACGGCUAACUACGUG
rnacentral:rRNA from 1 species